UGAAUUCGACUUUUCGCUCGGCGAGCAGAGUUUUGACGCUGUUUAUGGAGAUGAAAGGAAAUAAAGACAAGCUUGCCAUAUAUGGUUGUGUAGAUAAAUUAUCGUAGAAGACAUAGAAACAAGUGCCUGUGAGUAGAAACCCUCAAGAGGUCAACAAUAUUAGCACAUGGCUAACCGCAAGUAAAGGACAGAGGCAAAGCAAAUGUGUCAGACAUCAAUGAUUGAUCCUUAUAGGCUUUCAUACAGUAGAAACCCUCAAGAGAUGACUUUAAACUCUGUGCACCACCUGACCGCAGUCAAUUAUAGUGUCUACAGACUUUGCCGUAAAAGCACUUUAGGCU